CCUACGGGCGGCAGCAGUGGGGAAUAUUGGACAAUGGGGGGAACCCUGAUCCAGCCAUGCCGCGUGUGUGAAGAAGGCCCUCGGGUUGUAAAGCACUUUCAGUGAGGAAGAACGCCUGGUGGUUAAUACCCAUCAGGAAAGACAUCACUCACAGAAGAAGCACCGGCUAACUCCGUGCCAGCAGCCGCGGUAAUACGGAGGGUGCGAGCGUUAAUCGGAAUUACUGGGCGUAAAGCGCGCGUAGGUGGCUUGGUAAGCCGGUUGUGAAAGCCCCGGGCUCAACCUGGGAACGGCAUCCGGAACUGUCAAGCUAGAGUGCAGGAGAGGAAGGUAGAAUUCCCGGUGUAGCGGUGAAAUGCGUAGAGAUCGGGAGGAAUACCAGUGGCGAAGGCGGCCUUCUGGACUGACACUGACACUGAGGUGCGAAAGCGUGGGUAGCAAACAGGAUUAGAUACCCCGGUAGUC
rnacentral:rRNA from 1 species